GUCUGACGCCAUACCAUCCUGAAUGUGCCAAAUCUUGUCUGAUCUCGGAAGCUAAACAGGGUCAGGACUGGUAAAGUACAUGGAUGGGAGAAAUACACUGCUAUUACAGACA
rnacentral:rRNA from 1 species